rnacentral:rRNA from 1 species
UACAGAGGUGGCAAGCGUUGUUCGGAAUUACUGGGCGUAAAGGGCGCGUAGGCGGCCUUCUAAGUCAGACGUGAAAUCCCCCGGCUUAACCUGGGAACUGCGUCGGAUACUGGAUGGCUUGAAUUCGGGAGAGGGAUGCAGAAUUCCAGGUGUAGCGGUGAAAUGCGUAGAUAUCUGGAGGAAUACCGGUGGCGAAGGCGGCAUCCUGGACCGACAUUGACGCUGAUGAGCGAAAGCUAGGGGAGCAAACGGG